GCUGUCGCAAAAUCGGCAGCCGGGAUUGGCGUCCUGUUUAACUCAAUGGCGACACCAGACGCGCCAUGCGUCUUUUUU
rfam:Buttiauxella agrestis ATCC 33320 GBAG.assembly.054, whole genome shotgun sequence.